GACGAACGCUGGCGGCGUGCUUAACACAUGCAAGUCGAACGGAAAGGCCCUGCUUGCGGGGUGCUCGAGUGGCGAACGGGGGUGUAACACGUGGGUGAUCUGCCCCCUACUUUGGGGUAUGCCUUGGAAACAGGGUCUAAUACUGGAGAGGACCAUGCUGGAGGCGGGGUGGUGGAAAGAAUGGUUUCGGUAAGGGAUGAGGUCCCGGCCUCUCAGCUUGUUGGUGGGGGAAUGGCCGACCAAGGCGCCGACGGGUAGCCGGCCUGAGAGGGUGGACGGCCACAUUAGGACUGCGAUGCGGCCCAGCCUCCUACGGGGGGCAGCAGUAGGGAAUAUUGCACCAUGGGGGCAGGCCUGCUGAAGCGGCGCCGCGUGGGGGGUGACGGCCUUCGGGUUGUAAACUCCUUUCAGCCAUGACGAAGCCCUUGUGGUGACGGUAGUGGUAGAAGAAGCACCGGCUAACUACGUG
rnacentral:rRNA from 1 species